rnacentral:rRNA from 1 species
CCUACGGGAGGCAGCAGUGGGGAAUAUUGCACAAUGGGGGAAACCCUGAUGCAGCGACGCCGCGUGGAGGAAGAAGGUCUUCGGAUUGUAAACUCCUGUCCCAGGGGACGAUAAUGACGGUACCCUGGGAGGAAGCACCGGCUAACUACGUGCCAGCAGCCGCGGUAAAACGUAGGGUGCAAGCGUUGUCCGGAAUUACUGGGUGUAAAGGGAGCGCAGGCGGAUUGGCAAGUUGGGAGUGAAAUCUAUGGGCUCAACCCAUAAAUUGCUUUCAAAACUGUCAGUCUUGAGUGGUGUAGAGGUAGGCGGAAUUCCCGGUGUAGCGGUGGAAUGCGUAGAUAUCGGGAGGAACACCAGUGGCGAAGGCGGCCUACUGGGCACUAACUGACGCUGAGGCUCGAAAGCAUGGGUAGCAAACAGGAUU